GAUGAACGCUGGCGGCGUGCCUAAUGCAUGCAAGUCGAGCGAAUGGAUUAAGAGCUUGCUCUUAUGAAGUUAGCGGCGGACGGGUGAGUAACACGUGGGUAACCUGCCCAUAAGACUGGGAUAACUCCGGGAAACCGGGGCUAAUACCGGAUAACAUUUUGAACCGCAUGGUUCGAAAUUGAAGGGCGGCUUCGGCUGUCACUUAUGGAUGGACCCGCGUCGCAUUAGCUAGUUGGUGAGGUAACGGCUCACCAAGGCAACGAUGCGUAGCCGACCUGAGAGGGUGAUCGGCCACACUGGGACUGAGACACGGCCCAGACUCCUACGGGAGGCAGCAGUAGGGAAUCUUCCGCAAUGGACGAAAGUCUGACGGAGCAACGCCGCGUGAGUGAUGAAGGCUUUCGGGUCGUAAAACUCUGUUGUUAGGGAAGAACAAGUGCUAGUUGAAUAAGCUGGCACCUUGACGGUACCUAACCAGAAAGCCACGGCUAACUACGUGCCAGCAGCCGCAGUAA
rnacentral:rRNA from 1 species